CCUUCAAUCUCCAAAUUAUGUGCAUUACAUUAAUACUUUUUUUUUUUUUUUUGAGACGGAGUCUCGCUCUGUCGCCCAGGCUGGAGUGCAGUGGUGCAAUCUCGGCUCACCGCAACCUCUGCCUCCCGGGUUCAGGCCAUUCUCCUGCCUCAGCCUCCUGAGUAAGUGGGACUACAGGCGCCUGCCACCACGCCCAGCUAAUUUUUUGUAUUUUUAGUAGAGACGGGGUUUCACCGUGUUAGCCAAGAUGGUCCCAAUCUCCUGACCUCAUGAUCCACCUGUCUCGGCCUCCCAGAGUGCUAGGACUACAGGCGUGAGCCACCAUGCCUGGCCUACAUUUUUUAACAUAUCCAAACAUCCUUGCACUUCAGAGAUAAACUCUACUUGGUUGUGAUGUAUUUUUAAAAAUACUUUCAAAUUUAUUUUGUAUCACUCUAUUUAAGAUAUUGUUACCCCCACCUCCCCACAGAAACUGGGAUUCAUUUGCCUGCCAAGUAACAAACAACUCUCCAUGAGAAUGCAGGUUUUGAUCAAGAGGCAUUUUAUUGCGGUAUUCUCUAACACUGAUGCCACUGCUCCCUGCACCUCACUUUGGAUAACAAGGGCUUAGAGCAAAGAUCAAGUAGAAAGAGAAAGGCUGGAGAUACUUAGAGCAAAGAUCAAGUAGAAAGAGAAAGGCUGGAGAUACAGGGAAGCUAGGGAACGGUUAAUAAAGCAGAGUCACUGAUGAGACAAAUAGGUGAAGCUGGAUAUGAAGUAUCUG
rnacentral:lncRNA from 10 species